rnacentral:rRNA from 1 species
AACGAACGCUGGCGGCAGGCCUAACACAUGCAAGUCGAGCGAGGACUUCGGUCCUAGCGGCGGACGGGUGAGUAACGCGUGGGAACGUGCCCUUUGCUACGGAAUAGCCCUGGGAAACUGGGAGUAAUACCGUAUGUGCCCUUUGGGGGAAAGAUUUACCGGCAAAGGAUCGGCCCGCGUUGGAUUAGGUAGUUGGUGGGGUAAUGGCCUACCAAGCCGACGAUCCAUAGCUGGUUUGAGAGGAUGAUCAGCCACACUGGGACUGAGACACGGCCCAGACUCCUACGGGAGGCAGCAGUGGGGAAUCUUAGACAAUGGGGGAAACCCUGAUCUAGCCAUGCCGCGUGAGCGAUGAAGGCCUUAGGGUUGUAAAGCUCUUUCAGUGGGGAAGAUAAUGACGGUACCCACAGAAGAAGCCCCGGCUAACUCCGUGCCAGCCGCCGCCGUAACAC